GGCCCUAUCAUGAUGAACCAUUACGGAUGUAAAACUUUGCUUGUCUGAAAUGCGCAAACAAAACAAUGUUGAGACCUCCGUUGCCUUCCUUCUGAUCUUGUGG
rnacentral:snoRNA from 1 species